rnacentral:rRNA from 1 species
UGGGGAAUUUUGGACAAUGGGCGCAAGCCUGAUCCAGCAAUGCCGCGUGCAGGAUGAAGGCCUUCGGGUUGUAAACUGCUUUUGUACGGAGCGAAAAGGUCUGCCCUAAUACGGUGGGCUCAUGACGGUACCGUAAGAAUAAGCACCGGCUAACUACGUGCCAGCAGCCGCGGUAAUACGUAGGGUGCGAGCGUUAAUCGGAAUUACUGGGCGUAAAGCGUGCGCAGGCGGUUAUAUAAGACAGAUGUGAAAUCACCGGGCUCAACCUGGGACCUGCAUUUGUGACUGCAUAGCUAGGGUGAGACAGAGGGGGAUGGAAUUCCGAGUAUAGCAGUGAAAUGCGUAGAUAUGCGGGGGAACACAGAUGGCGAAGGCAAUCCCCUGGCCUGAACUAACGCUCAUGCACAAAAGCGUGGGGAGCAAACA